UACGUAGGGUGCAAGCGUUGUCCGGAAUUAUUGGGCGUAAAGAGCUUGUAGGCGGUUUGUCGCGUCUGCUGUGAAAUUUCGGGGCUCAACCCCGAACUUGCAGUGGGUACGGGCAGACUAGAGUGUGGUAGGGGAGACUGGAAUUCCUGGUGUAGCGGUGAAAUGCGCAGAUAUCAGGAGGAACACCGAUGGCGAAGGCAGCUCGCUGGGACGGUACUGACGCUGAGGCGCGAAAGCGUGGGGAGCAAACAGG
rnacentral:rRNA from 1 species